AUCGCUUCUCGGUCUUUUGGCAAGAUCAAGUGUAGUAUUUGUUUUUAUUGGUUUAAUAUGUGAUACAUUUUCUCAUUAGAGGAUAGUAUAUUAAAUAGGUUCUUGGAGUAGGGAGUUGGAAUAUGGAGUUUGCUUUGUCCACUAUCACGCAUGGACUUGGUAUUACAGUACUUUCAGAAAUGGUGCACUCUUU